ensembl:snRNA U6 U6 spliceosomal RNA
GUGCUUGCUUUGACAGCACAUACACUUAAAGAUUGGAAUGAUACAGAGAAGAUUAGCAUGGCCCCUGUGCAAGGAAGACACACAGAUUUUUUUUUUUUUUUU